GACGAACGCUGGCGGCGUGCUUAACACAUGCAAGUCGAACGGACAGGCGCUUCGCGGUCCUCGAGUGGCGAACGGGUGAAUGACACGUUGGUGAUCUGCCCAGCACUCUGGGGUAAGCCGGGGACACUGGGUCUAAUAAGCAAUAGGAGCACACUCUUCAUGGUGGGAUGUUGCAAGCGUUUGCGGUGUGGGAUGGGCCCGCGGGCUAUCAGCUUGUUGGGGGGGUACUGGCCUACCAAGGCGAGGCGGGGUAGGCGGCCCGAGAGGGGGGACGGGCACAAUGGGACUGAGAGACGGCGCAGACGCCUAUGGGAGGCAGCAGUCGGGAAUAUUGCGCAAUGGGCGCGAGUGUGAUGCAGCGACGCCGCGUGCGGGAUGACGGCCUUCGGGUUGUAAACCUCUGUCUCCAGAGACGAAGCGUAAGUGACGGUACCUGGAGAAGAAGCCCCGGCCAACUACGUG
rnacentral:rRNA from 1 species